GCCUGGAAGCUGGACGGACAGGAAAGAGGGUUCUCCUGUUAGUGGAGGAGGCAGCUGAUUGGACAAGGCGAGGACCCUGUUAGCCACUUUAGACAGUCAUGGUUGGUUCUGAAGAGAUGACUAAGGACAGUCCAUGGCAGACAAAGGCUCAGGGGGCAGUCGCCUCCCCCUCGCACUGCCUCCGGCCUCCCAGGGUUGCUCGUCAGGGAGCAGUGGCUCCUCGGCGGGGGGCUCAGGCAACCCUCGCCUUCCACGGAACCUCCAAGGCCUGCUGCAGAUGGCUAUUACUGCGGGCUCUGAGGAACCAGACCCUCCUCCAGAACCCAUGAGCGAGGAGAGACGCCAAUGGCUGCAGGAAGCCAUGUCAGCUGCCUUCCGAGGCCAGCGGGAAGAGGUAGAGCAGAUGAAGAACUGCCUCCGGGUCUUGUCCCAGGCCACACCCCCAACUGCUGGUGAAGCUGAACUGGCCACUGACCAGCAGGAGCGUGAAGGGGCACUAGAGCUGCUGGCAGACCUGUGCGAGAACAUGGACAAUGCGGCAGAUUUCUGCCAGCUGUCAGGCAUGCACCUGCUGGUGGGUCGAUACCUGGAGGCAGGAGCUGCAGGGCUGCGUUGGAGGGCAGCACAGCUCAUCGGCACGUGCAGUCAGAAUGUUGCAGCCAUCCAGGAGCAGGUGUUGGGCUUGGGUGCCCUGCGUAAGCUACUUCGGCUGCUCGACCGGGACUCCUGCGACACGGUACGAGUCAAGGCUCUCUUCGCCAUCUCC
rnacentral:lncRNA from 1 species